rnacentral:misc_RNA from 1 species
CUAGAUGACAAGCUGACUCAUUCAAGCGUCCAAGGUUUGUUGGUGAAUCGAGUUCGUAAUUGAUUCUCCAUUCCUUUAAGAAUAUGGCUUCGACGUCCCAUCUUGUCAUUAACGAAGAGCCAGGGAUCACGAGACCAUGGCCAUUUAAGAAACCGAAGAACAGAUUGUUGAAUGAAAAAAUGUUUCUUCGCCGUGCGCUAAAAUGCUUCUUUCCUUCGGUUUGUGCUUUUGGCAUCUUCAUGUUUCUGAUCGUGUACUUUGCUAACAACAUUGAAUCUUGUGUGCUUUAUAUCAAUGGGACUCGGAAGGUUACGCUCGGAAAAAAAUUUGAUUGCACUUCAGUGCAACUGAAGUAUGCGAACCAAACUGAUCACGAAGUACGACCUGAAAAAAAAUUCCCACGUUUCAUUGGGCCGAUAGCGAUCGUCGGUUUUUUUGUGUCAUUCCAGUCAUUCCCAUGGAAGUCUUGUGGAACGACUUGGAAAGCCAACCAUUCCAAAAACCUGCGACACUGAACAUCUUCCAAUAAAAUCAUUACUAAGUACUGACUUUGAUGUGAUGUUAACACCCCAAACAAUCCUAGCAGCAGCGACUGAAGAUCCCAAGACAAGUCAAGCUCAAACGCUCUUCGACGUCGUUUCCUUGCCAAAUACACCUGGGUUCGUGUGGUUGAAGCUGAACCAAAAUUAUAAGGAAUCGAGUGACAAGUUUUGGAGGGAUCUUUGUGUUGAGUAUACUUUUGCUGAUGGUUCAAAAGGAUUAUAUCUUUCCUCCUUCGAGGUGCGAAACGUAUUUGUGAAAGGGAUGAAACGAAUCAAGCGGAAAGUGACAGGAUAUUUUGGUUUCUAUAAAAAGAUCGCAGAAAAAGGCGUCGCCUUCCAUGUCAAAGCUCAGGGCCCGGCCGUUACUGUAAAAGUAGAGCGUAGACAGAAUCUUUACGGGCCAAUAAGGUUUAAGAGCCUUCGUCCAACUUUAUUCUAUGGUGAUUUUAUCUUCGCGAUAAAAUGCAUUUAAUGGCCACAGGAAGCCCGCAAAUGGCCUUCAUGCGAGGAGCGAUUUUGGCCACCACAAGCGGUGGUUGACGAAAUCAUGAC